CUUUGUGACUUUUUACUUUUGUUACACUUUGUUUUGAUUUGAAGAGUUUAGUAGAAAAUGAUUAAGAUCUGAAACCAGACGUGAUCUGUAGCUUUCUGUAUGGAAUUUUGAAAAACUGAGUCAGAAAGCAGUACCAUGUUAAAAUUACUUCACCACGGGUUCACGAGCAGAAUCACUGGUGACUGUUGAGAGCGUCUCUGCUGAAUGAGGAGCCUGCAGCUGGAUUGUUGGACGAAACUGCAAUGAUUCGCUGUUGUUCUAUUUACAAAAGGUUCUUUGGUUAUUUUUGGAGUCGACUCCGUGGAACGAUCUUUCACCUUCAUUAGGCGUUUUAUUAAUUCCUGGCGCCAUCUUUGUAGCGUUCGAGAACGCACAGUGGUCCUUUGGAUGGAGGAGGGAAGCACAAUGCGUGUUUAAAAAAAGGAAACUGUAACGGAUUUGCCCAUUUGACGAACUGGGGUCGACUCCGGAAGCGAAGCAGGCUUGUUCUUGUUUAGUUUUUGGCUAUUGUCGUAAAUUCUACCGGUGUGAAUUUCUGUAUUUAAAAAGUGUCACAGACGAUAAUUUGCUGUUUAAUUGCUAGUUUUUGCUGUAAUGUUAGUGUCAUUUUUUGUGCGUUCUGGACUGAAGUUUGUGUAUGAUUACGAGUAAUGUGCGGCAAAAGUUGCAA